AUACGUAGGUGGCAAGCGUUGUCCGGAUUUACUGGGUGUAAAGGGCGUGUAGGCGGAGAUGCAAGUCAGGAGUGAAAUCUAGGGGCUCAACCCCUAAACUGCUUUUGAAACUGUAUCCCUUGAGUAUCGGAGAGGCAGGCGGGAUUCCUAGUGUAGCGGGUGAAAGAGUAGAUAUUGGGAGGAACACCAGUGGCGAAGGCGACUUACUGGGCCGUAACUGACGCUGAGGCGCGAAAGCGUGGGGAGCGAACAGGAUCAGAUACCCUGGUAGUCCACGCGGUAAACGAUGAAUGCUAGGUGUUGCGGGUAUCGACCCCUGCAGUGCCGGAGUAAACACAAUAAGCAUUCCGCCUGGGGAGUACGGCCGCAAGGUUGAAACUCAAAUGAAUUGGCGGGG
rnacentral:rRNA from 1 species